rnacentral:rRNA from 1 species
GACGUAGGAUGCGAGCGUUGUCCGGAAUUAUUGGGCGUAAAGCGUACGUAGGCGGUCAUCUAAGUCUGGGGUUAAAGACCAAGGCUCAACCUUGGGAGUGCCCUGGAUACUGGGUGACUGGAGGACGGCAGAGGAAAGUGGAAUUCCCAGUGUAGCGGUGAAAUGCGUAGAUAUUGGGAGGAACACCAGUGGCGAAAGCGACUUUCUGGGCCGUUCCUGACGCUGAGGUACGAAAGCCAGGGGAGAAAACGGG